GAUCAAGUCAUCGUCAAGAAAGCCGUUAUUCGUCAGCCCAGAUCAAGUCAUCGUCAAGAAAGUCGUUAUUCGUCAGCCCAGAUCAAGUCAUCGUCAAGAAAGCCGUUAUUCGUCAGCCCAGAUCAAGUCAUCGUCAAGAAAUUCGUUAUUCGUCAGUCGUCCAGAUCAAGUUGUCGUCAAGAGACUGUUAUUUGCCAGUAGUCGUCUACACAAGUCAAGUCAUCGCCAGAAGAACCGUUAACCUAUUCGUCAGUAACUGUGUACACAAAGUCGUCGGAACUACACAUACGGUCAUCAACAGUCGUCAAAGAAACUGAAACAUUUUGCUGUGGCAUAUCAGGACAUCUGUGGCAUUACGUGGGAUACUGGUAGCACCGGAGAACAGAGUCAGAACUGGAAGAGAGGCAGUGGAAUUUGUUGUGAUCUAGCAUAUUCGGGAGUCCGAACAAAGGGAUCUUUCUUAUCAAAAGCUAAGUGCCAUUUUUCUUAUUAGUAUAUGUUUAGAUUGCCCUUAGAAAUAGAUUUUGUCUAAAUUUGGUAUGUUAGCCUGAGUAAAAUCAGGUGGUGCUGAAGCCUUAAACCCGUUCGGGGUAAAGACAUAAUUUAGAUGAAAAACUAUAUUAUACGUUUAGGAUUGUAAUUUGUUUUGUUUGUGUAAACGUCAUAUCCGUUGUUGCCUGGUUACUUCGUGACGUUAUCAUUGUGUGCCAUAUUGUCAUAUCCCAACCCAUAGCGAUAGUCUCAUUUUAAUUAUUUCAUUUGUUUAUAUUAUUUUAAAUUAUUUAUUUUUAUUAAUUUAAUUAGAUCUGUAUUUUUUUUUCACUUAAUGAUAGAAAGUGCGGGUAGGAUUCUUUUACUGUGAAUCAGACUAAAAUAAUUUUAGUUUGAGCGGUUAAAAUCAAAUAUGAUUUUGCCAUGAGAAUAAUGCCGAAACUGGCUAUGUAGUCAAACACUGUCGUCUGGUUAAAUUUAGAUCUGCGAAUUGUUGUACAUCUCUUUGAUACAUUUGAUUAUAUAGACUCUAAUUUGAGAAUAUUAUUAAUUGAAAGAUGAAUGAAGACUACUGCCAUUGAAGAACAUUUGUGAUGUAUGACGUGUCCAUAAGAUGCCACAUUUUCCUCCAUGAUGAACUGUGUACUAAUGAAGAUGAUUCUGGAAUGUUAUGAACAUUGACAUUGAAUAUGAGGAACUGUCAAGUUAGGAUGAAGAUGUCAAGAUGAAGAUGUCAAGAUUUUAUGUUUGUUGUCUUCCCCUUAAAUUGAAAAUGCCCUUGUAAGACUUGACAGUAGUGGAAAAA